rnacentral:rRNA from 1 species
UGCCUGGACGUAACACAGCAACACCACUGCUCGCCAAAUAACUACGAGUGAAAACUUAAAACUUAAAGGACUUGACGGUACUUCACACUCAACCUAGAGGAGCCUGUCUACUAACCGAUAAUCCACGAUUAACCCGACCGCUUCUAGCCACCCAGCCUAUAUACCACCGUCGCCAGCCUACCUUGUAAAAGAAACAAAGUGAGCUAAACAGUACUACACUCACACGACAGGUCAAGGUGUAACUAAUGAAACGGACUAAGAUGGGCUACAUUCUCUAACCUAGAUUAUACGAACAAGGCCAUGAAACCAACCUUUAAAGGCGGAUUUAGCAGUAAGCUGAGAACAAAAUACUCAACUGAAACCAAUGCAAUGAAGUGCGUACACACCGCCCGUCACCCUCUGCAGUCACUUUA